GACGAACGCUGGCGGCGUGCCUAAUACAUGCAAGUAGAACGCACAGUUUAUACCGUAGCUUGCUACACCAUAGACUGUGAGUUGCGAACGGGUGAGUAACGCGUAGGUAACCUGCCUGGUAGCGGGGGAUAACUAUUGGAAACGAUAGCUAAUACCGCAUAAUAUUAAUUAUUGCAUGAUAAUUAAUUGAAAGGUGCAAUUGCACCACUACCAGAUGGACCUGCGUUGUAUUAGCUAGUAGGUGAGGUAACGGCUCACCUAGGCGACGAUACAUAGCCGACCUGAGAGGGUGAUCGGCCACACUGGGACUGGGACACGGCCCAGACUCCUACGGGAGGCAGCAGUAGGGAAUCUUCGGCAAUGGACGAAAGUCUGACCGAGCAACGCCGCGUGAGUGAAGAAGGGUUUCGGAUCGGAAAGAUCUGUUGUAAGAGAAGAACGGGUGUGAGAGUGGAAAGUUCACACUGUGACGGUAUCUUACCAGAAAGGGACGGCUAACUACGUG
rnacentral:rRNA from 1 species